CGGCGGACGGGUGAGUAACGCGUGGGUAACCUGCCUUACACAGGGGGAUAACAGUUAGAAAUGACUGCUAAUACCGCAUAAGACCACAGUACUGCAUGGUACAGUGGUAAAAACUGAGGUGGUGUAAGAUGGACCCGCGUCUGAUUAGGUAGUUGGUGGGGUAAUGGCCCACCAAGCCGACGAUCAGUAGCCGGCCUGAGAGGGUGGACGGCCACAUUGGGACUGAGACACGGCCCAGACUCCUACGGAAGGCAGCAG
rnacentral:rRNA from 1 species